GCCCCCAUCGUCUAGUGGCCCAGGAUGCAGGAUUCUCAGUCCUGAGACCGGGGUUCAAAUCCCCGUGGGGGUGC
rnacentral:tRNA from 1 species